GGAGAGGUGGCUGAGUGGUCGAAAGCGACGGAUUGCUAAUCCGUUAUAGGGCAGGUAACUCCCUAUCGAGGGUUCGAAUCCCUCCCUCUCCGCCA
rnacentral:tRNA from 1 species